CUCCAGAGGAGUUUGCGGAGCACCAACUAGUGUCUAUAAGUAGGCCAAUGGGGGACUGCGAAAUCCGCACCUGGAGCCUGUAGGGACUGUGCGUGGCAGGUGGAGGAAACAGUAGGACCUAUUCCAGCAAGUCAAGGCCUGAAUCUGGAAGAGAACCCAGAGGCUAGAAUCCUCCAAAUCCUCCUACCGCAUGGUAGGCCCUAGAGCACUCACCCCUGACAAAAUGUUGUGGGAAUUGGACCAGUCAAGAAGCAGCAAACGAUACUCAGAGAGUGGAAGAAUUCAAACUUAGUUUAUUUUUUUUUACUUUUUUGGUACUGAAGA